UACGGAGGUGGCGAGCGUUGUCCGAAGUUACUGGGCGUAAAGCGCGUGUAGGCGGCCCGGUAAGUCCGCUGUAAAAGUCAAAGGCUCAACCUUUGAAUGUCAGUGGAUACUGCCGGGCUAGAGUCCGGAAGAGGCGAGUGGAACUCCUGGUGUAGCGGUGAAAUGCGCAGAUAUCAGGAAGAACACCCGUGGCGAAGGCGGCUCUCUGGGACGGUACUGACACUGAGACGCGAAAGCGUGGGGGAGCGAACAGG
rnacentral:rRNA from 1 species